rnacentral:rRNA from 1 species
GACGAACGCUGGCGUUGUGCUUAACACAUGCAAGUCGAACGGAAAGGCCCUGCUUUUGUGGGGUGCUCGAGUGGCGAACGGGUGAGUAACACGUGAGUAACCUGCCCUUGACUUUGGGAUAACUUCAGGAAACUGGGGCUAAUACCAGAUAGGAACUCCUGCUGCAUGGGGGGGGACGGAAAGUUUCCGGCGUUGGGGAUGGACUCGCCGCUUAUCAGCUUGUUGGAGGGGCAGUGGCUUACCAAUGCUUUGACGGGUAGACGGCCUGAGAGGGUGACCGGCCACCUUGUGACUGAGAUAAGGCCCACACUCCUAUGGGAGGCGGAAUUGGGGAAUAUUGGACAAUGGGCGAACCCGUGAUGCACCAUCGCCCGCGUGCGGCAUGAGGGCCUUCAGGUGGUAAACUCCUUUCGCCCUGUGACGAAACCAUGAUUAACCGCGAUGGGGAAAAAUGCACCAGCUAACUUCCUGCCACCAUCCGCCGUGAUACCUAGGGUGCGAGCGUUGCCCGCAAUUUAUUAGCGCGUAAAAUGAGUCUAAGAUGGUUGAUCGCGUCGGAAGUGUAUCUUGGGGCUUUCCCUGAGCGUGCUUUCGAUACGGGUUGACUUGAGGGAGGUAGGGGAGAAUGGAAUUCCUGGUGGAGCGGUGGAAUGCGCAGAUAUCAGGAGGAACACCAGUGGCGAAGGCGGUUCUCUGGGCCUUUCCUGACGCUGAGGAGCGAAAGCGUGGGGAGCGAACAGGCUUAGAUACCCUGGUAGUCCACGCUGUAAACGGUGGGUACUAGGUGUGGGGUCCAUUCCACGGGUUCCGCGCCGUAGCUAACGCUUUAAGUACCCCGCCUGGGGAGUACGGCCGCAAGGCUAAAACUCAAAGGAAUUGACGGGGCCCCGCACAAGCGGCGGAGCAUGCGGAUUAAUUCGAUGCAACGCGUAGAACCUUACCUGGGUUUGACAUGGAUCGGGAGUGCUCAGAGAUGGGUGUGCCUCUUUUGGGGUCGGUUCACAGGUGGUGCAUGGCUGUCGUCAGCUCGUGUCGUGAGAUGUUGGGUUAAGUCCCGCAACGAGCGCAACCCUUGUUCACUGUUGCCAGCACGUUAUGGUGGGGACUCAGUGGAGACCGCCGGGGUCAACUCGGAGGAAGGUGGGGAUGACGUCAAGUCAUCAUGCCCCUUAUGUCCAGGGCUUCACGCAUGCUACAAUGGCUGGUACAGAGAGUGGCGAGCCUGUGAGGGUGAGCGAAUCUCGGAAAGCCGGUCUCAGUUCGGAUUGGGGUCUGCAACUCGACCUCAUGAAGUCGGAGUCGCUAGUAAUCGCAGAUCAGCAACGCUGCGGUGAAUACGUUCCCGGGGCU